rnacentral:rRNA from 1 species
AAUUUUGGACAAUGGGGGCAACCCUGAUCCAGCCAUCCCUCGUGUGCGAUGAAGGCCUCCGGUUUCUAAAGCACUUUUGGCAGGGAAGAAAUGUCUCUGGCUAAUACCUGGAGCUGCUGUCGCUACCUCCAGAAUAAGCACCGGCUAACUACGUGCCAGCAGCCGCGGUAAUACGUAGGGUGCAAGCGUUAAUCGGAAUUACUGGGCGUAAAGCGUGCGCAUGCGGUUCGGCAAGAGGGAUGUGAAAUCCCAGGGCUUAACCGCGGAACUGCAUUCUUAACUGCCGGGCUAGAGUAUGUCAGAGGGGGGUAGAAUUCCGCGUGUAGCAGUGAAAUGCGUAGAGAUGCGGAGGAAUACCGAUGGCGAAGGCAGCCCCCUGGGAUAAUACUGACGCUCAUGCACGAAAGCGUGGGGAGCAAAC